rnacentral:misc_RNA from 1 species
AGCUUCCCAGGCCAAGCCACCUCUGAAGUGUAUGCACCAUACCAAUACCAGAAUCGCACCAGCGAUCGCAAGCGCGUGUGCAACAAACGUGAACGGUAGUGCUUUAACCUCCAAAGCCAUAUCUGCUCACCUUGGUCUUCUUCUUAAUCUCGAAACCAAUAAGACCGGAAGAAAGUGCGUGUGAGAAGGAAGGAACAGACAAUUUUAUCUGGUUAGUUGGCUGCGUCUGCGUUGUUUCUAUCAGCAAUUCCAAGCGAAUGUGACCGUUGGAUGAAUAUUUUCUUCAUGAUUGGAUUAAUGCCACGUGGAACUUACUGAUUAGGUAGUCUGCCUAAGGAUGAGGGAGGCCUAGCUGAGCCUCGCGUAUGAUCGAUGUCCCAAUAUCGCCGGGAGAUCCGACCAGAUCCAAUUUCGGGUGGUUUUUUAUUAACAUAUUCGAAAAUAUUAAUUAAAUAAUAUUUUAGUAUUAUUAUGAUAUGAUCAUAUGAUAGAAAGCUUAGCGAUUUGAUUCAGAAAUGCGUGGAGAGUUCCAGCCUGCAGGGAAAGCGAAAACCUGAACGGCACCGUAAAGAAAGCCAU